rnacentral:rRNA from 1 species
UAAGACGAACCGUGCGAACGUUGUUCGGAAUCACUGGGCUUAAAGGGCGCGUAGGCGGUCUGCCAAGUCCGGGGUGAAAGCCCCCAGCUCAACUGGGGAAGUGCCUUGGAUACUGGCGGACUUGAGGGAGGCAGGGGUUGUGGGAACUUCCGGUGGAGCGGUGAAAUGCGUUGAUAUCGGAAGGAACGCCGGUGGCGAAAGCGCACAACUGGUCCUCUUCUGACGCUGAGGCGCGAAAGCCAGGGGAGCAAACGGGAUUAGAUACCCCGGUAGUCCUGGCCCUAAACGAUGGGUACUAGAUUGUGGGCUAACAUGGGUUCACAGUCGAAGCAAAAGUGGUAAGUACCCCGCCUGGGGAGUAUGGUCGCAAGGCUG